rnacentral:tRNA from 1 species
GAAAAAUUAGUUAAAAAAUAACAUUAAUUUGUCAAGUUAAAAUUAUUAAUACUAAUAUUUUUCU